AAAUCCCUGCGGUGCGCGUUGGAAAUUUGAUAAUUUUUGAACCAACACACUUAUCAAGGGAGCCCGGAUUCUUCGGACGCCUCGCGUCCAAGAGAGGGCACCCACCUGUAACCAGAUGGUUCAGAUGAUCGUUCCAACGGCACAUUGCGGGGAUUUU
rnacentral:other from 1 species